UACAGAGACUGCAAGCGUUAUUCGGAUUCACUGGGCGUAAAGGGUGCGCGGGCGGCCAAGUGUGUGAGGCGUGAAAGCCCGGGGCUUAACCCCGGAAUUGCACCUCAAACUACAUGGCUAGAGCAUUGGAGAGGGUAGCAGAAUUCACGGUGUAGCAGUGAAAUGCGUAGAUAUCGUGAGGAAUACCAGAGGCGAAGGCGGCUACCUGGACAAUUGCUGACGCUCAGGCACGAAAGCGUGGGGAGCGAACAGG
rnacentral:rRNA from 1 species